CCUGUGGUGUAUGGUUGCACGGGCGGUCUCUAAAACCGCGGCUUCUGAAGCGAACGGAGGGGGUUCGAAUCCCUCCAGGG
rnacentral:tRNA from 1 species